rnacentral:rRNA from 1 species
ACGGGGGGGGUAAGCGUUGUUCGGAAUUACUGGGCGUAAAGGGCUCGUAGGCGGCCAACUAAGUCAUACGUGAAAUCCCUCAGCUUAACUGGGGAACUGCGUGUGAUACUGGAUGGCUUGGAUUUGGGAGAGGGAUGCGGAAUUCCAGGUGUAGCGGUGAAAUGCGUAGAUAUCUGGAGGAACACCGGUGGCGAAGGCGGCAUCCUGGACCAAUAUUGACGCUGAGGAGCGAAAGCUAGGGGAGCAAACGGGAUUAGAUACCCCGGUAGUCCUAGCCCUAAACGAUGAAUGCUUGGUGUGGCGGGUAUCGAUCCCUGCCGUGCCGAAGCUAACGCAUUAAGCAUUCCGCCUGGGGAGUACGGUCGCAAGGCUG